rnacentral:rRNA from 1 species
UACGGGGGGGGCAAGCGUUGUUCGGAAUUACUGGGCGUAAAGGGUCCGUAGGUGGUUCGGUAAGUCGGAUGUGAAAUCUCCAGGCUCAACCUGGAGGGGUCAUUCGAUACUGCCGUGACUAGAGGUCGGUAGGGGAGUGUGGAAUUCCUGGUGGAGCGGUGAAAUGCGCAGAGUAUCAGGAGGAACACCCCGUAGCGAAGGCGGCACUCUGGGCCGAUACUGACACUGAGGAGCGAAAGCGUGGGGAGCGAACAGG